rnacentral:lncRNA from 1 species
AAAUUUUGUAAGAGGUUGAACUGCUUGUAAAAGGUUGUAAGAGGGGUAUUUACCCUUCCAUUUCAAGAGAUUUGCUAGUGGAAGGUGGGAGCCUCAUCGAAGAGGGGCCUCGCAAGUGGAGUAGGUCAUUUGACCGAACCACUCUAAAAUUGGCGUCAUCCUUGGUUUGCAUUUCAUUAUUGCCAUUUACAUUAUUGCAAACCUUCUUACAUGCUUUAGUUCCUUAUUACCUUUGCUGCACAACUUUAAGAAUACGCCUUCAAGUUAAGCUUUUCAAG